rnacentral:sRNA from 1 species
AUGAGGGCUCCAGCGAAAGAUGAGGACAGAAGGCAGAUAGAUGGAUAGAUAGAACAGAAGCGAAAGAGUGAGGACAGAAGGCGGAGAGAUGGAUAGAUAGAACAGAAGCGAAAGAGUGAGGACGGAAGGCAGAGAGAUGGAUAGAUAGAACAGACGGGAAAGAGUGAGGGCAGAGAGCAGAGAAGUGAAAGCAGGGAAGUGUGCGGAGAGAGAAGCGCAGAGUGACGGCGGAGAGCAGAGAAGUGAAAGCAGCGAAGCAGCGCUUGCGGGGAGAAAAACAGAAUGAGCAAGCUGCCUUAUCUCUCGGUUAAAUCUUUCCAAACUUAUAUUUUAUUUCUGUUUUAAUAAUGUGUAACUAAAUUUAUUUUGGCUAGAGGUUAAUUCAAAGCCAUGGAUAUAUUUGUAAUAUGAAUUGAUUACCUUCAGUU